GGGGAAGUAGCUUAAUGGUUAAGCGCAUGCUUUGCAUGUGAGAGGUCCUGGGUUCAAUCCCCAGUAUAUUCA